AGUAAAAGUCGUAACAAGGUUUCCGUAGGUGAACCUGCGGAAGGAUCAUUAAAAGUAUAUGGUUAUUCCUUCUGGAAUCAACAUUACAAACCCACUCUGCGUACCUUACCUGUUGCUUCCACAGAGCAUGGCCUUGUGUCAUACGGUGGUGCCCAUUCAGGGCAUUUCCGGUCGUCUCUGUGGAAGGUUUACAUCAAACUAGUUUAUUAAUUGCCCUCUGUCUGAAUGAAUAAAUAUAAAUUUUAAAACUUUCAACAACGGAUCUCUUGGUUCUCGCAUCGAUGAAGAACGCAGCGAAAUGCGAUAAGUAGUGUGAAUUGCAGAAUUCAGUGAAUCAUCGAAUCUUUGAACGCACAUUGCGCCUCCUGGUAUUCCGGGAGGCAUGCCUGUUCGAGCGUCAUUAUAACCACUCAAGCCACUGUGCUUGGUCAUGGGGAAUGCAUUCGUCCUGUACGGGUACAUCUUCAAAAUAUAAUGGCUGAUUGAUCUAUGGAUGCCAGCGUAGUAAUAUUGAAAAUCUCGCUUGGAUCUAGGAGCAAAUCACGCCCCCAACCCCCAAAUUUUUUAAUGGUUGACCUCGGAUCAGGUAGGGAUACCCGCUGAACUUAAGCAUAUCAAUAAGCGGAGGA
rnacentral:rRNA from 1 species